GAUGAAGAACGCAGUGAAAUGCGAUACGUAAUGUGAAUUGCAGAAUUCAGUGAAUCAUCGAAUCUUUGAACGCAUAUUGCGCUCUCUGGUAUUCCGGAGAGCAUGCUUGUUUGAGUAUCAGUAAACACCUCAACUUCCAUAUCUUUUUUGAAAUGGGAGUUGGACUUGAGUGAUCCCAACGCUUUUCCUCACCGAAAAGUGGCGGGUUACUUGAAAUGCAGGUGCAGCUGGACUUUUCUCUGAGCUAUAAGCAUAUCUAUUUAGUCUGCCUAAAAAACAGAUUAUUACCUUUGCUGCAGCUAACAUAAAGGAGAUUAGUUCUUGUGCUGACUGAUGCAGGAUUCACAAAGACAGGCUUCGGCCGACUUUGUAAACUCGAUCUCAAAUCAAGUAAGACUACCCGCUGAACUUAAGCAUAUCAAUAAGCGGAGGA
rnacentral:misc_RNA from 1 species